rnacentral:rRNA from 1 species
UACGUAGGGUGCAAGCGUUGUCCGGAAUUAUUGGGCGUAAAGAGCGUGUAGGCGGCCCGAUUAGUCCGCUCUGAAAGUCCAGGGCUCAACCCUGGAAUGCCGGUGGAUACUGUCGGGCUAGAGUCCGGAAGGGGCGAGUGGAAUUCCUGGUGUAGCGGUGAAAUGCGCAGAUAUCAGGAGGAACACCAAUGGCGAAGGCAGCUCGCUGGGACGUGACUGACGCUGAGACGCGAAAGCGUGGGGAGCAAACAGG